CUAUUUUUAGCAAUGGCGACCAUGUUUGUUGAUAGAUCAAAACUUCGGAUAUAAUUUAUAAAUUAAAUACCCUAAGAAACAUUCAGUUAAAGUUUGAAAGUAUUUGGCCCAGUAGUUUCAGAGGAGAAGAUUCUUGAAAUAGUUUACGACGACAGACGACGACAGACGACGACAGACGACGGACGACAGACGACGACGGACGCCAAGUGAUGGCAUAAGCUCACUUGUCCCUUCGGGACAGGUGAGCUAAAAAAAGACAUG
rnacentral:lncRNA from 1 species